rnacentral:rRNA from 1 species
GUGUCAGCAGCCGCGGUAAUACGGAGGGGGCAAGCGUUGUUCGGAAUUACUGGGCGUAAAGGGCGUGUAGGCGGUUGGGUAAGUCAGUUGUGAAAGCCCCGAGCUCAACUUGGGAAUUGCAACUGAAACUGCCCGGCUAGAGUUCAGGAGAGGAGAGCGGAACUCCCAGUGUAGCGGUGAAAUGCGUAGAUAUUGGGAGGAACACCGGUGGCGAAGGCGGCUCUCUGGACUGAAACUGACGCUGAGGCGCGAAAGCUAGGGGAGCAAACGGGAUUAGAUACCCCGGUAGUCCUAGCUGUAAACGAUGGACACUGGGUGUUGGAGGUAUUGAGUCCUCCAGUGCCGAAGUUAACACAUUAAGUGUCCCGCCUGGGGAGUACGGUCGCAAGACUGAA